UACGGAGGGGACUAGCGUUGUUCGGAAUUACUGGGCGUAAAGCGCACGUAGGCGGAUUUGUAAGUCAGGGGUGAAAUCCCGGGGCUCAACCUCGGAACCGCCUUUGAUACUGCAAAUCUCGAGUCCGGAAGAGGUGAGUGGAAUUCCCGGUGUAGCGGUGAAAUGCGCAGAUAUCGGGAGGAACACCAAUGGCGAAGGCAGCUCGCUGGGACGGUACUGACGCUGAGACGCGAAAGCGUGGGGAGCAAACAGG
rnacentral:rRNA from 1 species